rnacentral:rRNA from 1 species
GUGGGGAAUUUUGGACAAUGGGCGAAAGCCUGAUCCAGCCAUGCCGCGUGAGUGAAGAAGGCCUUCGGGUUGUAAAGCUCUUUCGGCCGGGAAGAAAUCGCACGCUCUAACAUAGCGUGUGGAUGACGGUACCGGACUAAGAAGCACCGGCUAACUACGUGCCAGCAGCCGCGGUAAUCCGUAGGGUGCGAGCGUUACUCGGAAUUACUGGGCGUAAAGCGUGCGCAGGCGGUGUUGUAAGACAGAUGUGAAAUCCCCGGGCUUAACCUGGGAACGGCGAUUGUGACUGCAAGGCUAGAGUACGGCAGAGGGGGGUGGACUUCCUGGUGUAGCAGUGAAAUGCGUAGAUAUCAGGAGGAACACCGAUGGCGAAGGCAGCCCCCUGGGCCUGUACUGACGCUCAUGCACGAAAGCGUGGGGAGCAAACAGGAUUAGAAACCCCGGUAGUCC